rnacentral:lncRNA from 1 species
GGGAGUUACAAAGGUGAACACACCUCUGCUCAUCGGAGAAGGAGGAGGCAGAGGUGGAGGAAUUUUCUUAUUCCCGCUUGUAAAAGAGAAGAAAAAGGAAAAAAAAAGAGGGAGAAAUCAGUUCAGGGAGAGAAAGAGAGAUAGAGAGUCGUGAAGAGAGAAUACGAUGUGGCAGAUCUGGUGUGUACGAUGGGCAACAUGCAGCGGCUGGCUCCACAUGUCAGAUGGCCGCAUAAAUUUAGAAAAUAAAGAGUCACGGUGCAUGGCCAAAAUUGAUUGGGAUUCAUAGCAGAUUUUUCUUAGAGAAGCAGAACUUGCGGUGGAGGCAGCUAAGCACAAUUUUAUGAUUUGCGAUGCCUCCUUCAC